CAACAAAGAGAAUGGAAGAGCGAAGGAGUGACAGACAGAAUGAGGGAGGGAGAAGCAAAUCAGAAAAGACACAAGAGAAAGAGGGGGAAGGGAGGAGCGACCCUCAUCACUCAAUAAGAUGGUGGGAAAGGAGGAGCAGUUUUGAGCUGUCAACUGAAUGGCCCAGAAGUUAACGCAUUGGACUAUGGCUCAAAAGAUUGGACCCCCCGGAGCAACCUGGAGUUAAGUGUCUUGCUCAAGGACACAAUGGUGGUGGCUGUGGGGCUCGAACCAGCAACCUUCUGAUUACCAGUUAUGUGCUUUAGUCAACUACGCCAGCACCACUCCAGUGUAUGCAUACACUCCAAAGUAUGCAGACCAUGCUUUAUUGUAGAA